rnacentral:pre_miRNA from 1 species
AAUAUAAUUGCUGGAUCAUAUGGUAAGAGAAUAUCCAGUCUUACAAGAAACUGUUAAACUGUCUUGCAAAGUGGCUGUGCCAUUUUGCGUACCCAUCAGAAAU